rnacentral:lncRNA from 1 species
AAAUGGCCAUGCUGCAGGAGAGUGAAGUCAAAGUGGAUGUUGAGUUGAAAUUAAGCAAAAAUGAGCUGAAGAGGCAUCUGAAAGCUGAGAAGAAACUGGAAGAGAAAGGCCAAGUAGAAAGAGCUCAAUGAGAAACAGCUAAACAAGACUACUGCUGCUGCUACCACCAACCCCACUGCUGACAUUGGUGUGGAUGCCGAGGAGGAGACUCUGGACCCAAAUCAAUAUUACAGGAUCCAAAGUCCAGCAGCUGAAGGUCAGUGUGGAGGACUCAUACCCACUCAAGUACCAUGUGGACAUCUCAUUCACUCAGUUCAUUCAAGAAUACAGCCACCUGCAGCCUGGGGAUCACCUGACUAACAUCAUAAGUGGCAGGUCACAUCCAAGAGAGUGUCUAGGGGAAAAUUGAUCUUCUAUGACCUUCAAGGAGAGGAGGUCAAGUUACAAGUCAUGGCCAACUCCAGGAAUUAUAAAUCAGAGGAAGAAUGUGUGCACCUCAAUAAAAACUGCAUCAGGGAGAUAUAAUUAGAGUUGAGGGUAAUCCAGGGAAAACCAAGAAGGGGAAGCUGAGCACCAUCCCCCAGGAGAUCACACUUCUGUCCCUCUGCUUGCACAUGUGCCUCAGCUUCAUUUUGGCCUUCAAAGACAAGGAAAUAGGUCUCUUCAGAGAUAUUUGGGCUUGAUACUGAAGGAGUUUGUGAGACAGAAAUUUGUCAUCUUCUCUAUAGAUCAUCACAGAUAUAAGAAGUUUCUUAGAUGAGCUGGGAUCCCUGAAAUUUGGAACUCCCAUGAUGAACAUAAUUUUUGGGAGAGCUUCAGCCGAGCCUUUCAUCACCUAUCACAA